CCCCUUCGGAUUCCUGCAGUGUUGGCCGCACAAAAAUGACCGCGAUCCGCGCUCAGGGAGUGCUGACCACACAAAAAUGGUCGCGGCCGCACAACAGUUUGACUGCAGUGACAGGCUUCACUAUUUUGUCCGUAACUUUCACUACAGAUGUCCAAAUACCUAUUAUAAUAUGUUUUUGAAACUAGAUUCAAAGUUUACAACUUUUGUUUUAGAAUCAACCCCAAAUUCCUUGUAGAUCAAAAAAUAUGAGCUUCUGAAGUAGGAUCAUUGAUCUGCACAUCUUCACCUAUGCAGAUCGCGCCGCCUGACCGCGCCCCGCGCUAAACGGAUUGUAGUGCGCGCCCAAAUCACUACCCCUUUCGUUUUCUAAGUUUCGGGAUGUCCGUACUCGCUCAAAACUCACCCAAAACACACCCGAGGCUCCCGGGAACUCACCCAAAAGCACCUACAAGUCUGAAAAUACAUGAUAAACUUAGUCGAGGCCUCAAAUCACAUCACAUAUAAUCAAAAUCGCCAAUUAUGCUUGGAUUCAAGCCUAAGAACAUAUUAAAUUUCUGAAUUUUACAACUGAUGUCGAAACACGUCAAAACUAGUCCGAAUGACCUCAAACUUUACGGCAACUCUCGAAAUUCCAUUAUGACCCUCGGAUCAAAAUCUCACCUAUCAGCCGGAACUCUCCAAAAUAAUAACUUCGCCAAAAAAGGCUAACUUCUACAUUGAACCUCCAAAAUUUCUUCUGAUUGCUCUUCUAAGCCUUAAAUCAUCCCCCAAAACUAACCGAAUCAUCGGAAAUAAAUUUCUAGCCCUCUAACUCAACAUCCGGUUGACUUUUCUAAACUAACCUUCUCAUAAAGAGACUUAUUGUCUCAUUUCUAAUCGGACUCUAUUCGAAUUACUUCAAAUUCACCAAACACAUAUAAUGAAACAUUUAGAAGCAUAAAACGGAGAAAAUGGGGCGGAUAUACCUGAGACGACGGGUCGAAUCGUUACAUCUAAGGCCUAACAUGGGUUUGAAAUAUCUACUUAACAAACAAACUGAAAUAACAGAACGUUGCUUACUACACCACCAAUCCCUUUUAUUUAAGAGCAAACAUGGGAAGUUCAUAACUAAACUACUAUAAAGGGGACUAUCCAGGUAUGCAUUUCUCAUGGCAGAAAUCUACAUAACAAUAGUAUAUAAGAUGAACUUAAUACAAUCAGUGAAAAGAAAGGAAGAAGUUAACUUAAAAUUUCAACUUCCAUUUUAUAUGCAUUCAUUCUUCCAUAUUUCAGCUUAAAAUGUAUGUCAGUUGUGUACCUGGUAAAGGAAGCAAAAGAAGAGGAAGAUGAGAAAUCAGCAAGGCAGUAAUCCACACAGCAAAACAGCAACAACAGUAGCUAAACCCAACAACAGAUUUUAAAAAAAAAUAGCUGAGUUCCCAGCAAACCGAUGGAAUAGUAACAAUAAAACCCAACAGCAAACUCGGGUAACCCCAAAUGAGAACCUCAGUGAAAUCCCAGAAAACAAACCAAGAAUCAACAAUUAGGACAUGACGAACUAGAAACAAUGGAACAAUAGGUUUUUGAUCUUUAAUCACUCAAAGAAAGAAACACUUUGAACUUUUAUUAAACACUCAUAAACACUGACUCUGAUUAUUCAGGAGCAAAAGAAAAACAAACUCUCCAACUUUUUAGACUCUCAACUCUGACCUCUUUUAGCUUUCAAAGACCAGUCCAAAAACAUCCUCCUUUCUUGAAGAAAAAUCUUCUCCCUGUUAUUUCAUUCUCUAAUUUUCAAUUCCCUUUUCUUUUCUGGAUUUUCAGGCCUUAGUGGAUAGUCAAUCAAUUUUAAAUUAGUUCUUUUUAAAACAAAAAUAGUCUUCCACUAAUAGUUGUCUAUUAACUAUUCAAUCCCACUUAGAAUUAUCUCCUCUUUUGACUAAUCCAUUAGUGUAUUACUCAUUACCUGGCCCCCUCAUACCGUUAUGUUUUGCUCUCUACUUCCCACUAUUAUAUUAAACUAAUGGUAUUUAAAUAACCCAAUAUCAUACUACUAUUAUUAAACAAAAUUCCUAGCUUUUCUAUUCCUAAAACACCCCUGAAACCCCUUGACUGUUAAUGUUCUAAUUCAGAACUUCAGCAAACAGAACCAAACCUCUAAUUAUCUAAAAAUAAUCUCUAAUUAACAGAUAUAGCCAAUACUUAAUAUCAGUUAAACAAAAUCAAAUAACUAAACACAAUCAGAAAUGCUUAUUUCAAAGCAUUCAAACACAGAAAUCAUCAACUAUUGAAACAAAAUAAUGAACUAAAACCAAUCAGCUAAGUUUUCCAAUUCAGGUAAUAACAGGCUCAUCCUAAUUACAACAUUUGGAAUAGAAAGGAAACAGGCUGAAAAUACUACUGAACUUAAACAGACUAUUGUCAUGUUUUUCCAACUUUUAAGCAGAUUAAUCGACGAUACUUAAUUAGUCGAUUGUAUAAAUUAUAGCACAUAAUAAUGAAAAACCAACAAUCAAAAUUACACAAUUAUACAGACGAUUUGAAUGGCUUUGAAUAGAACGGUGAGCUAAUAUGAAACUAAUUAACCAACGACACUUAUCGAAUCGAUUACACAUAACAAUUAAUAACAAACAAUCAGAAACAGAGAAUCGGGCAAUUUACGGGUGAUUUCAGUGGUAUUUGAGAGAAACAGUGAGUUAUAAUACAACCUUAACUAAUAGACCGCCUUAUUCGAAUCGAUUACAUAGCCUAAUAUAUACACAAACCAAAUUGACCAAAUAAAAGGUCUUAUGAAGAUGGGCAGAACAAUUGUCAAAGAAUGACAAAAGAAACUAACAAAACUAAACAAAUAACAGAUACCAAUAAAAAAUAGAACAAAAAUGAAGAAGGGAAGAAUACCUCAAAGAAUCAAAAGCCAAACGGACUUGACCAAUCUCGGACUUGAACAUUUUGGGGUCAAAUGGAUCUUAAUCGAGUGUUCUCAUCUGAGAACACUCGACUAAGGUCGAUUUGGAACCCCAAAUUUCUCCUAAUCUAGGACAUGCUCCAUCUUUUCGCUUCUAGGGUUCUGUUUUGUUCGAUUUGGGAUUCAAGCAGUUCCCACGAUAUUCAAACGGAAUUAGUGGUGGUUUAGAGGUGAGGGAGGUCAAGUGGCUUGAUGGUGUGAGUUUGGGGGCGAUUGUGUAAGCUAAGGUUUCGAUCCAAUUAUUUGAUCGAAGAUUCGAAAAGCUCGGGGAUGGUUCGAAGAAAAGUGAGUGUGGAUUUGGAGAGGAAAUGGCAUGGUGGUUCAGGGGUGUGAUUUUUAUGGCAAUCGGAGCCGGCGCCGCCUGGUUUACGGCGAAGGGGAGGGGUGGCGGCUAGGGUUUCAUUGGGNN
rnacentral:lncRNA from 1 species